AAGACGGAGACAUGGCAGGACUCUUACUUAAAUCCCCAGCCAGUUCCCCCGAGGAUUACUGCUGCCAGAAGAAUAGCACCAGCAACAGAACCUAUUAUGAUAUUGGUACCACUUGGACCUGUAGGAGUAAAGCACUCAACCAGUCAGCAAUUGAUUAAAGGUACAGUAUAU